rnacentral:rRNA from 1 species
UACGUAGGGGGCAAGCGUUGUCCGGAUUUAUUGGGCGUAAAGAGCUCGUAGGUGGUUCGGUAAGUCGGAUGUGAAAUCUCCAGGCUCAACCUGGAGGGGUCAUUCGAUACUGCCGUGACUAGAGUUCGGUAGGGGAGUGCGGAAUUCCUGGUGGAGCGGUGAAAUGCGCAGAUAUCAGGAGGAACACCGGUGGCGAAGGCGGGUCUCUGGGCCGAUACUGACGCUGAGGAGCGAAAGCAUGGGGAGCGAACAGG